GUAGACCGAGCUCGCCGUGCUGCUUGUUGUCAAUGCCAACACGGGGAGGGCCGACAAGCAGAACAUGGUCCCUACACCAACAGGUCAGGUUUCCCUGGCUGCUCGGCAGUUCUCAGAUUGUUCCCUAAUUUUCCCUGAUGUCAUAGGAAACUAGCUCAGUCGAUGUACCUAGAGAAGUUGGACUGGAAGAAGGACCAUGAGGAGAGCAAUUAGACUCUGUUGUCGAUGAAUAGGACGAUGGACACUUAAAUGCAAGGAUUAAUUGUGAAUGGGAGAAUAGAAUGGCCGUGCUGAGUACUGGUUGAAGAAGGGAUGAGUAGGGAGGGAGGAUCAGAUCUGUGAGCACAUUGAUUAUGAUGUUUGCCGAUGUGAAGG